GCCGGGCAUGAUGGUGCAUGCCUGUAAUCCCAGCUUCUCGGGAGGCUGAGGCAGGAGAAUUGCUUGAACCCGGGGGGCGGAGGUUGCAGUGAGCCGAGAUCACACCACUACAUUCCAGCCUGGGUGACAGAGCAAGACCCUGUCUCAA
rnacentral:SRP_RNA from 1 species